rnacentral:lncRNA from 1 species
CGCUGUUCCCCGAGGAAACAGGUCCUUGGGUCUGCUGGCUCGGUGAGCUGCAAGCUUUUCUCUGCCUCAGUUGGUUUUCUCUGAGAUCCCAGAGGCCACAGCCUGCUCCCUGCUGUCCUCCAUCCCUCACACAGGCUGAGGAGAGAGGCCAUCCGAGAUGACCUGCAAAGCCACCUCACUAAGCAGUCUCAGCCCCGUGUCGGGGGACAUGGUGUGGUGGCUGCCUAUAGCCCUCCUCUGCCCAAACCCUUUCUUCUAGCAGAUUCUGUAACUGGCAGGUCACUUUUGAGUAUUAGGACUCAAAAUACCCCAAAGUGGUCUUGUCCACUGC